AGCGUAGGCGGUCAAGCAAGUCAGGGGGUGAAAGGCAUCGGCUCAACCGAUGUAAGCCUUUGAAACUGUUUGACUUGAGUGCAGGAGAGGAAAGUGGAAUUCCUAGUGUAGCGGUGAAAUGCGUAGAUAUUAGGAGGAACACCAGUGGCGAAGGCGACUUUCUGGACUGUAACUGACGCUGAGGCCCGAAAGCGUGGGGAGCGAACA
rnacentral:rRNA from 1 species